rfam:Schistosoma mansoni strain Puerto Rico chromosome 6, complete genome
AGCUUUUUAAAUCUGUGCAGAGAUUUCGUCAGACACCAACCCAUUAGGGCUGAUCAGACUUCCAAGAUAAGUUGUCAACGCG